GAUGAACGCUGGCGGCGCGCCUAACACAUGCAAGUCGAACGGCACCCCUCCUCGGAGGGCAGCGAGUGGCGAACGGCUGAGUAACACGUGGAGAACCUGCCCCCUCCCCCGGGAUAGCCGCCCGAAAGGACGGGUAAUACCGGAUACCCCUGGGUGCCGCCUUGCACCCCGGCUAAAGCCCCGACGGGAGGGGGUGGCUCCGCGGCCCAUCAGGUAGACGGCGGGGUGACGGCCCACCGUGCCGACAACGGGUAGCCGGGCUGAGAGACCGACCGGCCAGAUAGGGACUGAGACACGGCCCAGACGCCUACGGGAGGCAGCAGUGGGGGAUCUUGAGCAAUGGGGGGAACCCUGACGAAGCGACGCCGCGUGCGGGACGGAGGCCUUCGGGUCGUAAACCGCUUUCAGCAGGGAAGAGUCAAGACUGUACCUGCAGAAGAAGCCCCGGCUAACUACGUG
rnacentral:rRNA from 1 species